rnacentral:misc_RNA from 1 species
CCAGAGAUGGCGGGCCCCCGCGCCCCCGUCCCCAACCCUUUGUUGACCAAACCACUUUUGCCUCGGGGGCAGAGCGGCCUCCGCCGCCCCCGGUGGACCAUCAAACGCUGUCUCUGUACGUCGGAGUCAAAUGCAAAUGAAUGA